rnacentral:rRNA from 1 species
AACGUAGGAGGCAAGCGUUAUCCGGAGUUACUGGGCGUAAAGAGUGCGUAGGCGGAUCUGUAAGUGGGUGGUGAAAGCGCCCGGCUAAACCGGGCGAGGUCCAAUCAGACUGCAGGUCUAGAGGCGGAUAGAGGGGUGCGGAAUUCCGGGAGUAGCGGUGAAAUGUGUAGAGAUCCGGAGGAACACCAGUGGUGCAGACGGCGCCCUGGGUCCGAACUGACGCUGAAGCACGAAAGCGUGGGGAGCGAACGGG